AUUGAACGCUGGCGGCAGGCCUAACACAUGCAAGUCGAGCGGCAGAAGGGGGCUUGCUCCUGCAUUCAGCGGCGGACGGGUGAGUAAUGCCUAGGAACCUGCCCGGUAGUGGGGGAUAGCGUCCGGAAACGGGCGCUAAUACCGCAUACGUCCUGAGGGAGAAAGCGGGGGAUCUUCGGACCUCACGCUAUCAGAUGAGCCUAUGUCGGAUUAGCUAGUUGGUGGGGUAAAGGCCUACCAAGGCGACGAUCCGUAACUGGUCUGAGAGGAUGACCAGCCACACUGGAACUGAGACACGGUCCAGACUCCUACGGGAGGCAGCAGUGGGGAAUAUUGGACAAUGGGCGAAAGCCUGAUCCAGCCAUGCCGCGUGUGUGAAGAAGGUCUUCGGAUUGUAAAGCACUUUUAGUGGGGAGGAAGAGCAGUAAGUUAAUACCUCGCUGUGUUGACGUUACCAGCAGAAUAAGCACCGGCUAACUUCGUG
rnacentral:rRNA from 1 species